rnacentral:rRNA from 1 species
UACGUAGGGGGCGAGCGUUGUCCGGAAUCAUUGGGCGUAAAGCGCACGUAGGCGGCUUUCUAAGUCAGGGGUGAAAUCCUGGAGCUCAACUCCAGAACUGCCUUUGAUACUGGAGAGCUUGAGUCCGGGAGAGGUGAGUGGAACUCCGAGUGUAGAGGUGAAAUUCGUAGAUAUGGGGAGGAACACCGGUGGCGAAGGCGGUCACCUGGACGGAUACUGACGCUGAGACGCGAAAGCGUGGGGAGCAAACAGG